UACGGGGGGAGCAAGCGUUGUUCGGAUUUACUGGGCGUAAAGCGCACGUAGGCGGAUUGUUAAGUCGGGGGUGAAAUCCUGGAGCUCAACUCCAGAACUGCCUUUGAUACUGAGAAUCUUGAGUUCGGGAGAGGUGAGUGGAACUGCGAGUGUAGAGGUGAAAUUCGUAGAUAUUCGCAAGAACACCAGUGGCGAAGGCGGCUCACUGGCCCGAUACUGACGCUGAGACGCGAAAGCGUGGGGAGCGAACAGG
rnacentral:rRNA from 1 species